AACCAACAAACCACAUUCAUUCUCUUCCAUUUUUUCAUGUAGAAUCCACUAAGGAACAAGAGGAAAUCGUUUAUUACUCUGCCAGCAAACUUCAAGAGUUAUCUCCCUAGUUAAAACUACUCAAGUUCGGCAAAUAGUUCAUCAAUCAAACAAAGCAACUUCACGUUAUUUCACACUUCACUAAACUCAACAACAACAAACCAACAAGAUACUCAAGGUAUUAAUUCUAUCUCGAAUAUCUAUUCUAUCAAGCAUUCGUACCAGAGCAUGAUCAGUUCAUUCAUGUGAAAUCCCA